UAUGAGGUUUGCGCACAAUUACAUGGUGAGCUGACUGUGGAAGGAGAGCCGGAGAAGAAGCUGCUGUUAAGAGGAGUCAGGGAGCAUGCAUGGGGCAUCCGAGACUGGAGCACAUACAACAGAUACAUUGCUAACUGGGGAUAUCUGGAGGAUGGAACAUUCUUCUCCUUUUUGGCAGCAAGUCUUCCCUCACUUGCUUCCCACAUCACUAGCGGAUACGUUGUCUUGCCGAGUGGACAGGUGUGUGUGCUGAAAUCAAGCGAUCUGCACUUAUCGCGGCUCGGACAGUUCACGCAGCAUCCCGACAAAUUCAGCUUCAACGCUCUUGCCGGCCACCUUGACUGCACUGUUACGGUAGAGAAGAAGCAGGAGCAGAUUCUCUAUGCGGGAGAUAGAUGGAGCGUCAGGAUUCAUGAACAAUUCACCGAUGUAACGAUCAAUGGAAUCAA